rnacentral:rRNA from 3 species
GGUUAAGCGACUAAGCGUACACGGUGGAUGCCCUGGCAGUCAGAGGCGAUGAAGGGCGUGCUAAUCUGCGAUAAGCGCCGGUAAGGUGAUAUGAACCGUUAUAACCGGCGAUACCCGAAUGGGGAAACCCAGUGUGACUCGUCACACUAUCAUUAACUGAAUCCAUAGGUUAAUGAGGCGAACCGGGGGAACUGAAACAUCUAAGUACCCCGAGGAAAAGAAAUCAACCGAGAUUCCCCCAGUAGCGGCGAGCGAACGGGGAGGAGCCCAGAGCCUGAAUCAGCAUGUGUGUUAGUGGAAGCGUCUGGAAAGGCGCGCGAUACAGGGUGACAGCCCCGUACACAAAAGCGCAUGUGCUGUGAGCUCGAUGAGUAGGGCGGGACACGUGGUAUCCUGUCUGAAUAUGGGGGGACCAUCCUCCAAGGCUAAAUACUCCUGACUGACCGAUAGUGAACCAGUACCGUGAGGGAAAGGCGAAAAGAACCCCGGCGAGGGGAGUGAAAAAGAACCUGAAACCGUGUACGUACAAGCAGUGGGAGCACCCUUUGGGGUGUGACUGCGUACCUUUUGUAUAAUGGGUCAGCGACUUAUAUUCUGUAGCAAGGUUAACCGAAUAGGGGAGCCGGAGGGAAACCGAGUCUUAAC